rnacentral:rRNA from 1 species
UACGUAGGUCGCAAGCGUUGUUCGGAAUUACUGGGCGUAAAGCGUACGUAGGCGGCUUUGUAAGUUAGAGGUGAAAGCCCGGAGCUCAACUCCGGAACUGCCUUUAAGACUGCAUCGCUAGAAUUGUGGAGAGGUGAGUGGAAUUCCGAGUGUAGAGGUGAAAUUCGUAGAUAUUCGGAAGAACACCAGUGGCGAAGGCGACUCACUGGACACAUAUUGACGCUGAGGUACGAAAGCGUGGGGAGCAAACAGG